AUGUAUGAUUUAUCAGUCGUCUGUCUGUCUUGCUGGCUACCUAGCUAGCAAUCAUCAUUCAUCUUUUCUUUCUCCCUCGAGAGAGAUACUAAGAUCUCAGGGUCCAACUACAGUGAACUUGCUAAUUUUUGGUGUUCUGCUUUCGAAACCCACCACGACUUAGACAGAUGCUCAAAUUCGUCAGCCCGGACCCACGUGCUCCUGUUCCCUUUGCUGAGCUCGCAGGCGGGGUGCGACUCUGCCAGUAAACGCAGCAGGCCCACAGCUCGGGUCAGCUCUCCUCAGCUCUGGCUGAGCUUUUGCUUUGCCUCAUCUACUUACUGAUUUUUAAAACUUUAGUGUAAGAUUAUAAUUAUUUGCAAUAUAACAUUCUCUAUCUAACAAAGCCUCUCUGCAAUACUUUCCUAAAGCAAAUGAAAAACUAUUCAGUCACUUUACUUAGAGUCAGAGCUAGUCACUUCUGAUACUCACCCCAUGUUCUCUAAUCUCUCCCCUUCUGUGUCCGUCCUUAAUCUCGAUUCUUCUCUCGCUCAUGAGCAGGGGGAAGGUUUCUGGUCGCGGCGCCAGGGCAGUGCGUUUUCUGGUGACCUGCGGUGUUGGGAAUGCUGCUCCCUUGGCCUCCCCUGUGAACAGGAGGACGGUUCUGGGAGCAACGUGGGUGGGCUCGGCCCACGUGGCCAGCACCUCCCUCCUGCACUGGCUUUCCUGGGGCACUGUCUUGACCAUAUUUCUGCCCUUUUUCUCUUUACCCCUCUUUGCUGGUUCGGAGGUCUGUGGCCAGUUUUGGUAUCUUCAUGUUCAUUUUCUCCCUCUUUCCCAGCCCUGCUGUGGACUGUGCCAGGAGAUCCCCCCUCCAUCGCUGCCCCUUGCCGCAGAGAGUGACUGGCCCAGGCUCAGAUCUGAAAAUGCAGAGACCACAGGGUGCAAGAGUCCACCCCUUGGCAACUGCACCUGGGGGCCUGAGCCACACGCCUGUCAGCUCCUGUUCAGGGCCAGGGCUUCUUAUGGAGACUUUCUUGUGCUGGAGGGCUAAUGCAUGUGCUUGGAGGCCAGAGGAAGUCAGAGGGAUGCCCUUGAGAUGACAACCCACCAGCCACCACUUCCCGGACACUAUGGGUGUGACACUGCUUCGCCCUGAGGACCGCUCUCCCAAGCUCACCUGCCUGCUGACAUCGCCGCUUGAUGCCUCUCCAGAAUCAUAAACGGAACGUGUCUAAAACUGAAUUCAUCACCUUCCUCUCUUUUCCCUCCUUGGUGAUUAUCACCCCAAACAAGUAAAAAGCAAUCCCAAAGGAGAAGCCCACUCCUCUGCGGAAGCCCUGAUUCGAGAGGCCAGAAGCCACCCCCACGCCAGGCUGUUUUCAGCCCUGGGGCUCCUCCUGUGGCACUACUUCCUGCCCAGCCUGGCACAGUCCUUCCUGUCUGCAGGCCUGUCCACACCACAGCAGGAGCAGUUUCCAAUGAUGCAGACCAGAUGUGGUCAGUUUGUAGGAAGCAUUUAUACAGAAUUUGUUCCCCUGUGAUAGCAGUUAUCCCCAUUAAAGGAAGCC